GAAAGACACCAUACUGAAUAG
rnacentral:piRNA from 1 species